AUGUGCAUUUAAACUUUCAUAGUAAACAAAUAUACUUUUAAGUGAACAUUUCCCCAUGGUUAAAGUCAGUUAUUAAAAUAGUCCUUUCCCAAAAUUAAGGCAGCUUUAUGCUGUAAAAGCAUGAGUUCUUUGUCAAAAGAUACGUUCUUCCAUCUUCAUCUAUUGUUGCCAGCUGUCAGCAUUUUCUUAAAAGGUCAGGUUUUCUUCUUAGCCACACCUGUAUGUGGCUUGUUGGUUGUCCAGGUGUGGUUUGCAGCUUAAAUGUCUAACCCUGUCAACCAAGAGUUCCACUGUUGUUUCACAAGGCUGACCGUGCUGAGCUAGUCCUAGUGUUUCCUGCACAUCUCGGCAGAUCUUGAAGAGGCGACACUGAAACUUCUCGUCCCAGUCAUUCUUGCUUUUGUCACCGGUCACCAGUCUCGUAGCACCCAUCACGUUGGUCACAGCACUACAUUCAGCAGGAGGGUUUAUAACCGUAAUGUGGGAAAGGGACUUAUGCCAGCAGAGCCGUCCUCGCCCCCUCGAAUACAAGGUGGCAGUCAGAAUAACACAAGACUGGAAAAAUUUAAAAGAACAGAAAUUUAUUUGGCUAACAUUUCUGGAAGCUGGCACCUGCAUCUGGCAAGCGUCAUUCCAUGGCAGAAUGCAUCACAUGAGACAUUCAAGCUGUAGUGAUCAUUUACUGAGGAUCUGCUGAUAAGAAGGCAUAAGAGAAGAGAUCCCUAAUCACAAAAUGGGGCCAGCCAUGGUGGUACAUGCCUGUGUUCAU